rnacentral:rRNA from 1 species
UACGGAGGGUGCAAGCGUUAUCCGGAUUUACUGGGUUUAAAGGGUGCGUAGGUGGGUGAAUAAGUCAGUGGUGAAAUCUCGCAGCUUAACUGCGAAAUUGCCAUUGAUACUGUAGGGCUUGAGUAUAGUUGCCGUUGGCGGAAUAUGACAUGUAGUGGUGAAAUACAUAGAGAUGUCAUAGAACACCGAUUGCGAAGGCAGCUAACGAAACUAUAACUGACACUGAGGCUCGAAAGUGCGGGAUCAAACAGG